UGACUAAGUCUGCAGUGGAACCAUUAAUAUCGCGAGAAGUGAACACUUGGAACAGUUAGUGCUGUGCUUCAGUGAAUUCAAGUAUUCCUCAGAAAUUCUGAAAAAAUUCAUCGAGUUUCUGGAAAAUUCCUCUAUAUAAAGGACAAUUGGAGCGAGUGAAGAUCAGUUGAGAAUUGAAUUUCGACAAGUUCACAUCUUUAGAAGUUGAGGAAAAUGAAAUUAACUGAGGUAUUCCAUAACUUUUGUGGAAAAUCACUUUUGAAUACGAAAGUUCUAGAAUAGACCUUUCUGGCAAUUGAAUUCCUCUAUAUAAGGGUUCAAAUGAGUGGAGAGUAAUUGGAGGAUUUCCAUUCACAAUGCCAAAGCGCUGCUUCAUUCCGGAUUGUACUCGACGACUAAAUACAUCAAUUUUCGUUUUACCUUGUGAUAAAAAUAUACGAGAACAGUGGCUCACAGCGAUUCGUACGGCGUAUCCUGAUUUGGUGAUUAAUGAAAAAACAUUUCGGCUCUGUGAGGAUCAUUUCAGCAAUGCAGAUAUACAGUCAUCUUGCAUUAUGCGGGAUAAAAAUGGAGCAAUUGUCCAACAGGAAUCGAUGCAGAGAAAACGCAUUAAAAAGGGAGCUGUACCUCAUUUUGACGAAUGUCUCGGAAUCUAAUGGGAUGGAAAAAUUUUUGUUAUGACCUUUUUUAUAACCUGCGAAUAGAGAGAUAAAAAAUAAAAUA